AUGCAGCGACGCCGCGUGAGGGAUGAAGGCCUUCGGGUUGUAAACCUCUUUCAGUAGGGAAGAAGCGAAAGUGACGGUACCUGCAGAAGAAGCGCCGGCUAACUACGUGCCAGCAGCCGCGGUAAUACGUAGGGCGCAAGCGUUGUCCGGAAUUAUUGGGCGUAAAGAGCUCGUAGGCGGUUUGUCGCGUCUGGUGUGAAAACUCAAGGCUCAACCUUGAGCUUGCAUCGGGUACGGGCAGACUAGAGUGCGGUAGGGGUGACUGGAAUUCCUGGUGUAGCGGUGGAAUGCGCAGAUAUCAGGAGGAACACCGAUGGCGAAGGCAGGUCACUGGGCCGCAACUGACGCUGAGGAGCGAAAGCAUGGGGAGCGAACAGGAUUAG
rnacentral:rRNA from 1 species